AUGUCGUCGCCCCUCUUCUCCCCGCUCGCCUCGGCCGCCUCCUCUCCUCUGCCGUGUCGUCGGCCCCCUCCCCCCUCCUACCUCCUCCUCCCUCCUCCCAGUCCCGUGCCAGCCGCCGCCCAAACCUUAGCCCCCGUUUCCCUCGAUCCCCGCAGUAACCGCAUCCACAGCCACCCGCUCCUUCUCACAGCCGCCGCACCAUUCCUCCCUUCCGCCCCCUCCUCCUUCCCGGAUCCCCACCAAGGCGCCGACCUGCAGGCAAAGGGCGACGAAGAGUGGCAGACGAGGACAACGAGGGAGAGAAAGAAGGGAGAUAAAAAGGAGGCCGGCGGCGAGGCCCAGCGACUAGCGCCUCUCCGCCUCAAGCCCCGGCAUCACCGCCACCAGAUCCACCUCGCAACCUCUCUUCCUCUCCUGUCUGACUGCUGCGUGGUCGCGUCAGGCCCAUGCCAGCGCCGCCGCCGCUGGAUGGUUCCGUCGGUCCCUCCCGCUCCAGAUCGAAAACUGAGAGAGCGACGGGAGGGAAGAAGGGGAUCGGGGGAGGGGAGAGCACGGGAGAGAAGGCGAGCUCGCGGCUGA
rnacentral:rRNA from 1 species